GGACUACUAGGGUAUCUAAUCCUGUUUGCUCCCCACGCUUUCGCGCCUCAGCGUCAGUAUCGGUCCAGUGAGCCGCCUUCGCCACCGGUGUUCUUCCCAAUAUCUACGAAUUUCACCUCUACACUGGGAAUUCCACCCACCUCUCCCGAUCUCUAGCCAUCCAGUCCCAAAUGCUAUUCCCAGGUUGAGCCCGGGGCUUUCACAUCUGACUUGAAUAGCCGCCUGCGCGCCCUUUACGCCCAGUAAUUCCGAACAACGCUCGCCCCCUUCGUAUUACCGCGGCUGCUGGCAC
rnacentral:rRNA from 1 species